UACGUAGGUGACCAGCGUUGUCCGGAUUUACUGGGCGUAAAGAGCGCGCAGGCGGUCGUUCAAGUCGAGUGUGAAAGCCCCCGGCUCAACUGGGGAGGGUCACUCGAUACUGAUCGACUUGAAGGCAGGAGAGGGAAGCGGAAUUCCCGGUGUAGUGGUGAAAUGCGUAGAUAUCGGGAGGAACACCAGUGGCGAAGGCGGCUUCCUGGCCUGUUCUUGACGCUGAGGCGCGAAAGCUAGGGGAGCAAACGGGGGAUUAAGAAACCCGUUGUAACGUCCG
rnacentral:rRNA from 1 species